GGGGGUAUGUGUGUUUAGACAGCAAAGGGAAUGAUGUGCUACUCAAGAGGCAGCCUAGGGGAAGAAAUCUGAGUAUUAUUUAAAAAAAAAAAAAAAAAAAAAGUAGGGACCUGAAAUUAGGGAAGAGUGGAUCUCAAGUCCUGGCUGCAUCCCAACCAGCUGUAUGACCUCGGUCACAUUUUAUUAUGUUAAAAGGAACUUACUAGCUCCUGCCUCACAGGAUUGAAAAUGAGACGGUGUUUGCAGCCCUUAACUUGGCUCCUGGAAAUAGUGAAGUUCAAGAAAUGGUUCCUUUCAGAGGGGAGCAACAACGCACUUACCCUAUGAAAUCACCAUUUAUGCAAGUAAGAGUUAAUCUGUUUGCCAGAGCAGAUCAAAGCCACAUGGGCACAGGGCUGUCAGCAUGUGUGGUCAUUGUAUCCCCACUUCUAGUCCAGUGCUCAGCACAUAGAUGACACCCAGUAAACACUUGGGACAUAAAUGAACUCAAGCCCCAUGAGAUGUCUUGGGCUUGCUCACUAAAACUAAGCCCUGCCCUCUGGUGUCUGUGUCGUCUGUCCAGCCACCUGUGAUGGCUCCUGUGACUGGGAAGGUGAUACUGCUGAUGUCUACAAAGAGAAGCCUUCAAAGAAACUUGCGUCUUCUGAGGGUGCCAGGAUGCCAUUGAGGAUCACCAUGGCAGAUGUAUAUUGUCCUCAUGUAUGUCUGCCUGGACUCUCCAGCUGCUUAAACAUUGUGUCAGUACAGUGUCAUAUGGGCUCCAAAAAUAACCUCAAUGGGAGCUAAAACUAUUUCAUCAGCAAGGAAAUAAUGUGACCUUGGGUACUGAAUCUCUGCAGACAUGUCACCGAUGGAAGGAAUUUUGUACUCCUUAAAACUUGUGGAUGUGGCUGGAGGCCAGGUAGCCCUCAUCCUCUCUCCUCUGAGCUGUGAGCACUGGCUUUGCAGCUGUCUUGUGUGUUUCUUCUUUGUCUCUUACAACUGCUUCUUCCCAAAAUGACAGACUUUACCACAUGUACCCCACAGGACCUCCAGGCAUUCUGAGACACAGCUUCUCCUAUUCUGGUUUCAUGAUACACAAUUAUAACACUUGAUUCACUCAGUAUUUUAUG
rnacentral:lncRNA from 1 species